rnacentral:rRNA from 1 species
UACAGAGGUCUCAAGCGUUGUUCGGAUUCAUUGGGUUUAAAGGGUGCGUAGGCGGCCCGGUAAGUCAGUGGUGAAAUCUCCUUGCUUAACAAGGAAACUGCCAUUGAUACUGCUGGGCUUGAGUACAGAUGCUGUGGGCGGAAUAUGACAUGUAGUGGUGAAAUACAUAGAGAUGUCAUAGAACACCGAUUGCGAAGGCAGCUCACAAAACUGUAACUGACGCUGAGGCACGAGUGCGGGGAGCAAACAGG